GGGUUGUGAGGUUAAGCGACUAAGCGUACACGGUGGAUGCCCUGGCAGUCAGAGGCGAUGAAGGACGUGCUAAUCUGCGAUAAGCGCCGGUAAGGUGAUAUGAACCGUUAUAACCGGCGAUUUCCGAAUGGGGAAACCCAGUGUGAUUCGUCACACUAUCAUUAACUGAAUCCAUAGGUUAAUGAGGCGAACCGGGGGAACUGAAACAUCUAAGUACCCCGAGGAAAAGAAAUCAACCGAGAUUCCCCCAGUAGCGGCGAGCGAACGGGGAGGAGCCCAGAGCCUGAAUCAGCAUGUGUGUUAGUGGAAGCGUCUGGAAAGGCGCGCGAUACAGGGUGACAGCCCCGUACACAAAAGCGCAUGUGCUGUGAGCUCGAUGAGUAGGGCGGGACACGUGGUAUCCUGUCUGAAUAUGGGGGGACCAUCCUCCAAGGCUAAAUACUCCUGACUGACCGAUAGUGAACCAGUACCGUGAGGGAAAGGCGAAAAGAACCCCGGCGAGGGGAGUGAAAAAGAACCUGAAACCGUGUACGUACAAGCAGUGGGAGCACAGGUUUACCUGUGUGACUGCGUACCUUUUGUAUAAUGGGUCAGCGACUUAUAUUCUGUAGCAAGGUUAACCGAAUAGGGGAGCCGGAGGGAAACCGAGUCUUAAUUGGGCGUUAAGUUGCAGGGUAUAGACCCGAAACCCGGUGAUCUAGCCAUGGGCAGGUUGAAGGUUGGGUAACACUAACUGGAGGACCGAACCGACUAAUGUUGAAAAAUUAGCGGAUGACCUGUGGCUGGGGGUGAAAGGCCAAUCAAACCGGGAGAUAGCUGGUUCUCCCCGAAAGCUAUUUAGGUAGCGCCUCGUGAAUUCAUCUCCGGGGGUAGAGCACUGUUUCGGCUAGGGGGCCAUCCCGGCUUACCAACCCGAUGCAAACUGCGAAUACCGGAGAAUGUUAUCACGGGAGACACACGGCGGGUGCUAACGUCCGUCGUGAAGAGGGAAACAACCCAGACCGCCAGCUAAGGUCCCAAAGUCAUGGUUAAGUGGGAAACGAUGUGGGAAGGCCCAGACAGCCAGGAUGUUGGCUUAGAAGCAGCCAUCAUUUAAAGAAAGCGUAAUAGCUCACUGGUCGAGUCGGCCUGCGCGGAAGAUGUAACGGGGCUAAACCAUGCACCGAAGCUGCGGCAGCGACACUGUGUGUUGUUGGGUAGGGGAGCGUUCUGUAAGCCUGUGAAGGUGUGUCGUGAGGCAUGCUGGAGGUAUCAGAAGUGCGAAUGCUGACAUAAGUAACGAUAAAGCGGGUGAAAAGCCCGCUCGCCGGAAGACCAAGGGUUCCUGUCCAACGUUAAUCGGGGCAGGGUGAGUCGACCCCUAAGGCGAGGCCGAAAGGCGUAGUCGAUGGGAAACGGGUUAAUAUUCCCGUACUUGGUGUUACUGCGAAGGGGGGACGGAGAAGGCUAUGUUGGCCGGGCGACGGUUGUCCCGGUUUAAGCGUGUAGGUGUGUGUUCCAGGUAAAUCCGGUUCACUUUAACACUGAGGCGUGACGACGAGGCACUACGGUGCUGAAGCAACAAAUGCCCUGCUUCCAGGAAAAGCCUCUAAGCAUCAGGUAACAUCAAAUCGUACCCCAAACCGACACAGGUGGUCAGGUAGAGAAUACCAAGGCGCUUGAGAGAACUCGGGUGAAGGAACUAGGCAAAAUGGUGCCGUAACUUCGGGAGAAGGCACGCUGACACGUAGGUGAAGUGAUUUACUCAUGGAGCUGAAGUCAGUCGAAGAUACCAGCUGGCUGCAACUGUUUAUUAAAAACACAGCACUGUGCAAACACGAAAGUGGACGUAUACGGUGUGACGCCUGCCCGGUGCCGGAAGGUUAAUUGAUGGGGUCAGCGCAAGCGAAGCUCCUGAUCGAAGCCCCGGUAAACGGCGGCCGUAACUAUAACGGUCCUAAGGUAGCGAAAUUCCUUGUCGGGUAAGUUCCGACCUGCACGAAUGGCGUAAUGAUGGCCAGGCUGUCUCCACCCGAGACUCAGUGAAAUUGAACUCGCUGUGAAGAUGCAGUGUACCCGCGGCAAGACGGAAAGACCCCGUGAACCUUUACUAUAGCUUGACACUGAACAUUGAGCCUUGAUGUGUAGGAUAGGUGGGAGGCUUUGAAGUGUGGACGCCAGUCUGCAUGGAGCCGACCUUGAAAUACCACCCUUUAAUGUUUGAUGUUCUAACGUGGACCCGUUACCCGGGUUGCGGACAGUGUCUGGUGGGUAGUUUGACUGGGGCGGUCUCCUCCUAAAGAGUAACGGAGGAGCACGAAGGUUGGCUAAUCCUGGUCGGACAUCAGGAGGUUAGUGCAAUGGCAUAAGCCAGCUUGACUGCGAGCGUGACGGCGCGAGCAGGUGCGAAAGCAGGUCAUAGUGAUCCGGUGGUUCUGAAUGGAAGGGCCAUCGCUCAACGGAUAAAAGGUACUCCGGGGAUAACAGGCUGAUACCGCCCAAGAGUUCAUAUCGACGGCGGUGUUUGGCACCUCGAUGUCGGCUCAUCACAUCCUGGGGCUGAAGUAGGUCCCAAGGGUAUGGCUGUUCGCCAUUUAAAGUGGUACGCGAGCUGGGUUUAGAACGUCGUGAGACAGUUCGGUCCCUAUCUGCCGUGGGCGCUGGAGAACUGAGGGGGGCUGCUCCUAGUACGAGAGGACCGGAGUGGACGCAUCACUGGUGUUCGGGUUGUCAUGCCAAUGGCACUGCCCGGUAGCUAAAUGCGGAAGAGAUAAGUGCUGAAAGCAUCUAAGCACGAAACUUGCCCCGAGAUGAGUUCUCCCUGAGACUUUAAGUCUCCUGAAGGAACGUUGAAGACGACGACGUUGAUAGGCCGGGUGUGUAAGCGCAGCGAUGCGUUGAGCUAACCGGUACUAAUGAACCGUGAGGCUUAACCUUACAACGCCGAAG
rnacentral:rRNA from 1 species